rnacentral:rRNA from 1 species
GCUUACACAUGCAAGUCGAACGAUGAAGCCCAGCUUGCUGGGUGGAUUAGUGGCGAACGGGUGAGUAACACGUGAGCAACCUGCCCCUGACUCUGGGAUAAGCGCUGGAAACGGCGUCUAAUACUGGAUAUGUCCCGUCACCGCAUGGUGUGCGGGUGGAAAGAUUUUUCGGUUGGGGAUGGGCUCGCGGCCUAUCAGCUUGUUGGUGAGGUAAUGGCUCACCAAGGCGUCGACGGGUAGCCGGCCUGAGAGGGUGACCGGCCACACUGGGACUGAGACACGGCCCAGACUCCUACGGGAGGCAGCAGUGGGGAAUAUUGCACAAUGGGCGGAAGCCUGAUGCAGCAACGCCGCGUGAGGGAUGACGGCCUUCGGGUUGUAAACCUCUUUUAGCAGGGAAGAAGCGAGAGUGACGGUACCUGCAGAAAAAGCACCGGCUAACUACGUGCCAGCAGCCGCGGUAAUACGUAGGGUGCAAGCGUUAUCCGGAAUUAUUGGGCGUAAAGAGCUCGUAGGCGGUCUGUCGCGUCUGCUGUGAAAUCCCGAGGCUCAACCUCGGGCUUGCAGUGGGUACGGGCAGACUAGAGUGCGGUAGGGGAGAUUGGAAUUCCUGGUGUAGCGGUGGAAUGCGCAGAUAUCAGGAGGAACACCGAUGGCGAAGGCAGAUCUCUGGGCCGUAACUGACGCUGAGGAGCGAAAGGGUGGGGAGCAAACAGGCUUAGAUACCCUGGUAGUCCACCCCGUAAACGUUGGGAACUAGUUGUGGGGUCCUUUCCACGGAUUCCGUGACGCAGCUAACG